rnacentral:rRNA from 1 species
UCAGAACGAACGCUGGCGGCAUGCCUAACACAUGCAAGUCGAACGAACCUUCGGGUGAGUGGCGCACGGGUGCGUAACGCGUGGGAACCUGCCUUUAGGUUCGGAAUAACAGUUAGAAAUGACUGCUAAUACCGGAUAAUGUCUUCGGACCAAAGAUUUAUCGCCUUUAGAUGGGCCCGCGUUAGAUUAGAUAGUUGGUGGGGUAAUGGCCUACCAAGUCGACGAUCUAUAGCUGGUCUGAGAGGAUGAUCAGCCACACUGGGACUGAGACACGGCCCAGACUCCUACGGGAGGCAGCAGUGGGGAAUAUUGGACAAUGGGCGAAAGCCUGAUCCAGCAAUGCCGCGUGAGUGAUGAAGGCCUUAGGGUUGUAAAGCUCUUUUACCAGGGAUGAUAAUGACAGUACCUGGAGAAUAAGCUCCGGCUAACUCCGUGCCAGCAGCCGCGGUAAUACGGAGGGAGCUAGCGUUGUUCGGAAUUACUGGGCGUAAAGCGCACGUAGGCGGCUUUUCAAGUCAGGGGUGAAAUCCCGGGGCUCAACCCCGGAACUGCCCUUGAAACUGGAUGGCUAGAAUACUGGAGAGGUGAGUGGAAUUCCGAGUGUAGAGGUGAAAUUCGUAGAUAUUCGGAAGAACACCAGUGGCGAAGGCGACUCACUGGACAGUUAUUGACGCUGAGGUGCGUU